UACGUAGGGGGCAAGCGUUGUCCGGAAUUAUUGGGCGUAAAGAGCGCGUAGGCGGUCCGAUAAGUCGGCUGUGAAAGUCAUGGGCUCAACCCAUGAAAGCCGGCCGAUACUGUCGGACUAGAGUCCGGAAGAGGCAAGUGGAAUUCCCGGUGUAGCGGUGAAAUGCGCAGAUAUCGGGAGGAACACCAAUGGCGAAGGCGAGCUUGCUGGGACGGUACUGGACGCUGAGGCGGCGAAAGCGGUGGGGAGCAAACAGG
rnacentral:rRNA from 1 species